rnacentral:rRNA from 1 species
CUAAGUUUGAUGGCGACCGGCGCACGGGUGAGUAACACGUAUCCAACCUGCCGAUGACUCGGAGAUAGCCUUUCGAAAGAAAGAUUAAUACCCGAUGGCAUAGUUCUUCCGCAUGGUGGAACUAUUAAAGAAUUUCGGUCAUCGAUGGGGAUGCGUUCCAUUAGGUUGUUGGCGGGGUAACGGCCCACCAAGCCUUCGAUGGAUAGGGGUUCUGAGAGGAAGGUCCCCCACAUUGGAACUGAGACACGGUCCAAACUCCUACGGGAGGCAGCAUG